CAGGUAUAGAACUAUUGAAUGGCAGAGUUUGAGAUCUUAGAAACCAUCAAGACUGAUGAUUUUCUAGCUACUUUCUACAUAGGAAUCCUAGAGUUCCUUGGAGAGGAUAUGAAGUUUAUUCUCAGGCCAUGCAGAUGGACAAGAAAGGAUGUGCCUCCAUCGUUCCUCUUCAAAUUCAACCAAAACAGCCUUGCUUCCGUUGGCUUUAUACAAUACUGCAACUCUUGAUAAUUAAUCUGAUUUAACACAAAUUUCCUCAUUGAGUUUCUCCUCAUGAAGAAACGGCCUCAGUGAGGUAAAUCGGAAUGCACAGGAACACGUAGCAGGCUGGAGUGCAGUGGUAUGAUGACAGCUCACUGCAGCCUCGAACUCCUGGACUCAAACAAUCCUCGUGCCUCAGCCUCCAGAGCAACUGGGAGUACAGAUGUGUGCCACCAUGCCUGACUAACUUUUUAAAUUUUUUGUAGAGAUGGGGUCCUGCUAUGUUGACCAGGCUGGUCUUGAACUUCUGGCCUCAAGAUAUCCUCCCACCUGGGCCUCCCAGAGUGCUGGGAUUAAAGGUAUGAACCACUAUGCCCAGCCCUAGAUAACUAUUUUUAUUUCCCUUUCUGUAACUUCUCGUCUUUUGUGCAUUUUUCCUUGGGUAUUGGCCUUCUUAUCAAAGUUUAAGAACUGUUUAUAUAUAGGGAUUAACCGUUAGUCUGUUGUAUGAAUUGCAAAUAUACAUGUAUUUUUAUUUGUAUAUGCAAAGUUUGUCUUUUAACUUUGUAUAUGGGACAGUUUUCCAAGCAGAGUUUUAUUUUAUUUUUCAUCUUGCAUGUCUUUCCAAAGUACCAAGCAGAGUUUUUUAAAAGUUGUUUUAUGGCUUCUGGGUUUUUAAAGUCGUAUUUAGAAAGAUCUUUCCCACCCUGAAAUUAAAAAAAUAAAUAAAUAAAAUCUCCCAA
rnacentral:antisense_RNA from 1 species